rnacentral:lncRNA from 1 species
AAAAUAAUAAGUCCUGUUUCUGGUCCUGAACAUCCAGAAUUGUGGAGGCUUACUGUGGCCUCACACCACAUUAGAAUUUGGUCUGGAAAUCAAACUUUAGAAACAAGAUAUCGUAAGCCAUUUUAUACUAUCGACCUAAAUUCCAUUCUAACGGUUCCUUUACAAAGUUGCAUAAAGCCCCCUUAUAUGCUAGUUGUAGGAAAUAUAGUUAUUAAACCACCAAACUAUAACCUGUGA